AAGAGCAGGUUGGCUGGUCGAGAAGUUAGGGUUUGUUGGUUGUGGUGUGAGGAAGGGGUCAGUACUGUGAGGAUCUGCCCGUGAGAAAUCACCAAGAAGGUGCUGGCUAUUGUCUUUAAAGAUGACAUCUUUCAAGGGAAUCCCAGAAGUCCACUUGAAUCAGCCAAUGCAUCCAUUGUCUCUCCAAUUAUAUGUGACAAGAUAUUUUCCGUUGACUACUUUGUUGAAACCAGCAUCUCGCCAAGAAUUUUUUUAGCUGUCACCUAAAUGGAAGUUAACAAUGACAUAUCAGGAAAAAAACACAGAUAUUCUGCAAGACAUAAUUUCUUAUUAUCUUAGCAUAAAGCCUAUGACUCAUUUUCUGAAUUUGUCCUCUUUGUAAUCCUCACCAUUAACAUGCUUGCAAUUGUAAAGCUAUGAAGACAAAAAAAAAAUCUUUUUUGGUCUUAUUUUUUUAGGGUGCUCACAAAAGCCAAAAAUAGUCUGAUACUCUGAUUUUGGAUUCACAUAUAUUGUUGGACUUUCCUAUGUUUUCUGUAUGAAACUUACUAGAAGUCAUGCCAGUAGAAAGCAGCCUGAACAAUGAACUAUCAAAAGUUAAUUUCUCCCCAACUUGCUGUGUACAAAUGUGUUUUAAUGAGCUGCAUAGCAUUCAUUAGAAGAUCUUUUCCUGAAGAAAUACAAUGUAGAUUUUUACAGCUUAAAAGAAAUCUAUUUGAAUAAAGUAAACCUCUCAUCUUUGCAUUCUUUGAAAUGAAUAAUGGUGCUUACUUUAAGAGGUCUUGAAAAGAACAGAAAUCUUGCUCAGGUUCUAGUAUAAUAACCUUCAUAUAAUGCUGUGUCCUUUCCUUUCUGAAUGGCACUGGUAAUUGAUACUGACAUACAAGGAAAAAGCCAAGUUCCAUCCAUCGUAGCAGAGACAAAUUUUAUCAAGGACUAUAAUGAGCUUUGGCUUCCUAGCUUUAUUUGCAACAAAGUACUGCCAAUCUUAUUGAAAUAAAGAAGUGUGUUCAAAUCAUUACAUGUUAAUCUGGUGUAAAAUUAUCUUUGACAGAAAGGUAGAAGAUGUGAAUGUUCUAUUUUGAAAAUUAUGUUAUGACAUCACUAGUGAUUCACAGAAUAUGCACAGAUAAUUUAGUGAAGAGCCAUUACUGGGACCUAUUUAAA